rnacentral:rRNA from 1 species
AGUGAACGCUGGCGGUAGGCCUAACACAUGCAAGUCGAACGGCAGCACAGUAAGAGCUUGCUCUUACGGGUGGCGAGUGGCGGACGGGUGAGGAAUACAUCGGAAUCUACUUUUUCGGGGGGGAUAACGUAGGGAAACUUACGCUAAUACCGCAUACGACCUACGGGUGAAAGCAGGGGAUCUUCGCACCUUGCGCGAUUGAAUGAGCCGAUGUCGGAUUAGCUAGUUGGCGGGGUAAAGGCCCACCAAGGCGACGAUCCGUAGCUGGUGUGAGAGGAUGAUCAGCCACACUGGAACUGAGACACGGUCCAGACUCCUACGGGAGGCAGCAGUGGGGAAUAUUGGACAAUGGGCGGAAGCCUGAUCCAGCCAUACCGCGUGGGUGAAGAAGGCCUUCGGGUUGUAGAGCCCUUUUGUUGGGAAAGAAAAGCAGCAGGUUAAUACCCCGCUGUUCUGACGGUACCCAAAGAAUAAGCACCGGCUAACUUCGUG